rnacentral:rRNA from 1 species
AGUCAAUAGAUACCCAGGUAGUCCACGCAGUAAACGAUGAGUGCUAGUCAUUGGGGUCUUAGAUCUCGGUGGCGAAAGCUAACGCGUUAAGCACUCCGCCUGGGGAGUACGGCCGCAAGGCUAAAACUCAAAGGAAUUGACGGGGACCCGCACAAGCAGUGGAGCAUGUGGUUUAAUUCGAUGCUACGCGAAAAACCUUACCAGCUCUUGUAUCCUCACUACGAUUCCCAGAGAUGGGUUUCUUCACUUCGGGUGGGUGAGAGACAGGUGUUGCAUGGCUGUCGUCAGCUCGUGUCGUGAGAUGUUAGGUUAAGUCCUUCAACGAGCGC